UGCCGGAGAUGGACCGCAGCUCCUGAGACAGCAGUAUAGCCACGCGCAGCCCAACCCAGCCCUGCCUCCGCGCACCCCGAUGCUGGGGCGGCCAGAGAGGUGGCUGUGGUGGAUGCAGCUCCGAGGGGUGUCUGGCUGUGUCCGUCCUCCUUCCUUGCAACGGGGUGUGUGAGUGAAGUGAGUGAGAGAACCCAGGUAGAAUAUGUCCAAGUUCAGCCUUGGCAUUACAGCAGUAGACCAGACCAACUAGAACAGUCUGUAGUGCAGAACUCUCAUACAUGUGAAGCAAAUCGUUCACCAUUAUGUUUGGCACUAAAAGUCUUGAAGAUCUGCUGGUCCCACAAGAUGUCUGCCACAAUUAUUGAACUUUACUGAGACUGUCAAGAUGAUCCAUGCUAUGAAACCUUCUCUUUCAGAUAUAGAAAUAACAGCACUUCAUCUUUGGCCAAAAGGAGGUGUUUCCUUAUUGGGAGGUCUAGUAACUUGCUCACUAGGUAUUUUUCUGCUGUUCUGAGUAGUUUCCUCAAGGCAGUGCAAAUGCAUUGUAGUAUUCUGAAAGCUUUUCAAACAUUUCUUGCAGUCCAUAUUUUAGUAGUCUUCAUUUUUUCAAGUUCUUUUUAAUCCUAGCCCACAAAUUAUUACAGAAUCUUUAAUUUUUUUUGAACCUUUACAUCAACAGAUAUUAGAGAGUUACCAAAAAAAUCAGUUUGUUGGGAUUUUUUUGUUAUGAUGUAAAGUAGAGGGUUCGGGAAUGUGGCCAGCCCCAGGGAGAUGCAGAAACAGGCAAACUUGUACUGAGUAUCUUUUAACUUAUAUUAAAAUGCUUUUAACUAUAACUUUCUAUUUAACAGUUUUUAUAGGCGUGAGCGCCAAAUAACUAUUAGCAGGAACAGCAAACAAAAUGCAGUGCAAUAGAGGAAAAUACCCUGAGGUUUUUCCAAGUCCCAGUAAUUAUCAACAACAGCCCAGGGAUUUUUAACAGCUAUAUUUACAUUAAUUUCACUCAUAAGGUCUAACAUCUAUCUAAACUCCUAACAGUACUAUUUAACAAACUUCUAACUAACUUACUCCUAAAUCUAUUAUUUAACAAACCUUUAACUAACUUUACACAGCAAUACUCUCACUUAUCAGACACACACGGGACAACAGAGACAACAGCUUAUUCGUUAUGCUCUGCAGAAGAGUCAGUUGAUUCGGUGAGCGGGAGGGGGCCCUCAGACCUGGCUCGCGUUCUGCCUUCCGAAUUUUCGGGAACCCUCAACUGGAUGCAGGAGGGGAAGCUGUUUUAUAGAGAGAGCAAGAGAUUUCCCGCGUUUCGCUGUGAUAGGCUUAACAGAUUCUGUCUACCUAGUGACAGGACUGAGGGGGAAGUGGAAGGGGUGAGAUUGCUCUUGGCAGGCGCAAACUUUGCAUGACCCUUACCUGUCUGGUUUUUUACUCCUGCUUUUUACUGAUCUUAAGUCAGGAUUUUUGGUUUGAGGGGGAAGGUAAUCUUGGCUAGGAAGGCUAUAUGCACAAGGCCUGGCCAAAAAAGAGCCUGCUUUU